UACGAAGGGUGCAAGCGUUACUCGGAAUUACUGGGCGUAAAGCGUGCGUAGGUGGUUUGUUAAGUCUGUUGUGAAAGCCCCGGGCUCAACCUGGGAAUGGCAAUGGAUACUGGCAAGCUAGAGUGCGGUAGAGGGUAGUGGAAUUCCCGGGUGUAGGCGGUGAAAUGCGUAGAGAUCGGGAGGAAUACCAGUGGCGAAAGCGGCACCCUGGCACUAGCCUGACGCUCAUGUGCGAAGGCGUGGGGAGCGAACGGG
rnacentral:rRNA from 1 species